CUUGCUUGUUACCACAUUCCACCCGGCCACAAUAAAAUACCGGCCAUUAUUCACCUCCGCUGACUCCGACACCGGCCAAAAUAUGAUGCCCGGCCGUUAAUUGAAUACAGGCCAAUAUUAGAGGAUUUACGGUAUGCAUUCAUUUUUUGAGGAAUUUAAACAAGUUGGGAGCUUCAGAAUUGCUUUUGAAAUAUUUAUGACUGAAUCAUCCCUCAAAAUCUCAUUAAACGUCAUUUAAAACUUACUGCAAAAAGCAUUGUUAGGAAAAACAAGCCUCUUUAUUAGAAAAAGAGGCAGAUAUUAUGCUGAUGUGUAUGAGAUGUUACUUUUCUUAAAGAAUGUUGGUCUUUUGUUCCUCACACAAACCACGGUCAGCCUUCUCUCAUCUGUCUUUACUUUAUGCUCUGUGAACACAUACAUACAGAAUGAUGCGUGGAGAGAGAGGAAACCUGACGGUGGUUGCAAUCCGCAGACAAAGAGAGCUGGGCAGCACUGAGGGACACUGAGCAUAGAGAGAGCAGUGUGUGGCCCCGGGCUCUUGGCCCACGCUGAUCGGGAUGAGUGGAAGAUAAAAACAUGGUUACUGCCGUCUCUGGGGAAGGAGGAAUAAAUGCAGUAUUAAACAAAAUGUUGACAGUGAUGUGGAUGCUGACUGAGAGCUUCUGACUGAAAACAUGAAAAACAGCAAGCCACAUUGCUGUGUGUAGAUUCUAAGGGCCAGAAUACACUUGCUGUUUAACGGUGCGUACACGUUUUUAAAAUGGCUACCUCAUGCAACUUGCAUUGAUUUGAAGCGUUGUUUGGUUCUAAUAUCCCUCUGGGAUUAAUAAAGUAUCUUUGAUUUGAUUGAUUGAUUGAUUGAUUGAUUGAUUGAUUGAUUGAUUGAUUGUGCGGAAUUGACGCAUGUGCAUGCUGCAAUAUACGAGUAAACAGUAGGUGGAGUUGACAAAACGAACAAGACACACUCACGGUCACUCCGUCUCUGGUUUAGAGGUCUUUCAUACUAUCUACGAUUCCGCUACCAUCUAUUUUUUCUGUCCUGAUCUCAAAAUUAACAAGUAGCUGAUCGUUUAUAUUGACGCCAUGUUUGGCACUCUGUUUGGUUUGAGUUCUCUAGUGUGCCCCUAGUAGAAACCUUCCAGUACUACAUGCAGAGUAGUGCAGCUGCAGAUAUGUGAACAAAGAUGCAGCUUGCUGCCUGCACCAAUGCAUGUUUAAAAAUCAAGUAUAUUCCAAUUCUUAAAUUAAAGAAGAUGAGUAACUGUGACUAUCUGUGACUGGCAAUCCUUCAGAUCUAUAAGGAACAAAUGUACUCAGUCAAUCAGAAAAGCUAAAUCUGAAUAUUAUAAGAGCCAGUUUCUGAUGAGUAGUUUAGAGCUCAAAAGGUUUUUGCCAGACUUUCAAGAUUAUGGAAAAUACCAACAAGUCUUCAAUUUCGCCAAAAAUAAUCAAUUCUGAUAGCAUUGCUGUCUCAGAUAAAAUUACAAUGGUAAUGUACUUUAAUAAUCACUUUUCCAAGUCCGGUCAUGCCUUUGCUACAGCUUCACCUGUUUCUGGUGUUUCUGACCUCAACUCAACUACAGUGAUUCUCUCUCCGCAACCAACUCCUGUUUUUCCAUUCAGUUGUUUCAGGUAAAUAAGGCACUUGAUGAGUUACUCAGGUUGGAUCCUCAGCCGGAAUUCAAAAGUUAGCCAAGAAACAGCUAACACAAUAUCUGGAAACCAGCAGAAUUCUUACCCCCAUGUAGUCUAGCUUCAGAACUGGCCAAAGUGCUAAAUGACAUCAUAUGUACCAUUGAUAAUAAGGAAUAUUGUGUAGUUGUGUUUGUUAUCUUGGCUAAAGCCUUUGACUCUGUAGAGCAUAACAUCUGCAGGCUCAAACAUAUACUUUCUCAGGCAUCUGCGGCAUGGUUCAGAAGUUAUGUCGUAGGCUGUGCAGUUAGAACAGAAGUUUACCAAUCUGCUCCUCUUCAUCUAUCUAUGGGCGUGUCAUGUUCCUGAGCCGAGGUGAGUGACAACAUCUCCCAUCUCACCACUAUCAGGCUGAUUUUCCACAGGUGAGGAGCGGAGGGGUUUGCAGCUGCAGAAGAUUCCCAAUCAGGAACUCGGGUAUAAAAGGAGGAUGGAGGCACUUCACUACACCGGAUGAUUGCACCAGUAUAGGAUCUCAUUACCUACCGCAACUUUGCGGUUUAAAAACCUGGACUGUUCACACCACGUCUCAUCCUCCUCCGCUGUUACCUGUUUGGACCCUCUCCACUGCCUCACCUAUCCCGGAUCACCCCUGGACUCAUCAGAGCUCACCUCGGCUCUCUCGCCUUUCCCCCCCCCCUCAUUCUCCCUGAACUCUGAAUGAACUUGAGCGAUUGAUCUACCCCACAGGACUUCCCUGUGCUCUUUUUGUUCUCCUUAUAAUAAAGACUUUUACUUUGAUUCAACCAGUUCCACGAGUCAGUUUCUGCAUGUCUUGGGUUAAACACAUACCUCGAGUCAUGACAGGGCGUUCCUCAAGGGUCGAAAAAUAAGAGUGGAGAUUCAAAGUAAAUAAGUUCAUCUGUUUUAUUGCUUGAGUGAAUUUUACUCCAUUUUGUAGGGUAAACUCAGACUUAGUUGGUUAAUGUGCAUUUAAUGCUAUAACAUGAUCUAAUACCGUGGUUUGGAUAACUGUGUUCACCAGAGUUUACUGAAGGUUCUUUGUGCUUUUGAAAUUACAAACCUCUGAACAAAGGCAGAUUUCUAACAUCCGUAGAGUAUUAGAUGGGGAAUGUCCUCUAAUCAUCGGUGAGAUGAAGUUUAGCUCAGGCUGCUUUGCUUUUCCCCAGAAUUAAUGAGGGCUUGAACGUAUCCCUGGAGCUGAAAUAAGUCCUUGACUAAAAACUUUUUAACAGUUUUGAUCAAAAUGCCAACUUUCCAGUUUUUACAACAUUUCAAAGUAAAAUACCGCUGCUCCUCUACUUAUUUACUAUUACCUACAAUAACUUUUUCAGUUUGAACUCAAAUCUGCUGUUUCAGUUGUUUUUGUUGUCAGAGUUGAGACACAUACUAGUGCUAAAUAUUGUGAAACAUCUUUACUUAAAACUCUGUUUUGAAUUGUUUGAGUCAACCUCUGUUGGCAAAACAAGGAAACGAGGAGGCGUCAGAGGACUGGAACUGCUCCCAGCGACGGGGGACACUGAGCCAGGGACAAGUACUCAAACCGGGACUUGUCCUGCAGCUCUGCCCACCUGAAUCAUCCUACUAUGCCCUGACCGUUGGGCAGGGUCACGGGGGAAGAUUUCUGGCGGCGUGGGCGUCUCCGGCAGCGAGGUGGUGACAUCAGGAGUUUGGACUGGGACAACAGAGCAGGGGCCUCUUGGACAGGCAGCGCAGCUCUGGUCUCGGGGGAGAGGAGGAGCUCGGGCUGAGCUGGCGGAUGGAAGUAGAUGAUAUUCAAGAUGGCUGUACCAUUAGUAGGGUUUCCUGUUGAAUAGAUCAUUACAUUAUUAGGGUUCCAAGCCCAAAGGGCAUUGGAACCCUAUUGUUUGUCUACGGAUUUUUCAUUAUUCUUCUUCUCCGCUAAUACUGUAUCGGGGCAAGAGCCUGAAAUUGCCAGGAAAAAUCUGAUAUGGCAAUCUGAUAGAAAAUCCUGACCGCUACUCAGAUUCGAAAAUUUGGACCCCGAGUCACCUAGGUGGCGCUAUUGCGGAGGUGAAUACGUUUCAGCUACUAGCUCCCAAACCAUAGGUCCUACAGUAAAAAAAACUUUAUAUGGACAUGAUCCUUGGAUGAUUCUGCAUCUUUUUUGUAUUGGCCACGCCCAUUUCCGCCUAACUAGAUUUUUUUGCCAGAUCGCAAAAAACGUGAAACAUAGUUUUAAUCACCUAUUCGUCAUUUUUCAUCGAAUCAAGUUCAAACUUUGUACAUAUGAUCUAUGGAUUAAGCUAAGUUGUUGUGACGAAGCGGAAUUAUUGAAAAUUGGGCUAAUGACGCCAUGUCAAAUUCAGUGCGCUAGCUAGCACAUGUGAUAAUUGAUGAUAUCUUCACCAAUUUUCAAGAUAAAAAGAUGAGAUUCUAGACCCUUACAAAGUAUGAGCGGUAAGCCCUAUCUACCAAAUUUUGUUUGGAUUCACCUAUAGGGGGCGCUAAAGAGUCAAAAAGUUUGUUUCAGCAAAACGGCUUGAUGGGUUUCCACAAAACUUGGCAGAUAUGUUUGUUAUCGGACCCUUAAGCUAUAUUUUGAAAAUGAUUAAAAAGUGGGCGUGGCUUAUAGGCUUUAAAAUGUUUCGCCCUUUAACUCAUGAAAAAUAUAUAUUCUGUACAGAAAGUUACAAUUCAUAUCAGUCAUAGUGGCAUCUACAAUCACAGAAAAAAUUUUACAAUUUUGUCCAAUAGGUGGCGCUGUUGCAGCCAAAAAAGUUUUUGGCAUGUUUCUCCCCAUUCCUUUCGUAAAAAAAAACAAAUGAUCUCAUCCUGUAUGUUCAUUGAGUCAGUCAAAUUUAGAUGAGUAUUUUAAAAAAUGUUUUAAACUUAUGCAAAUUAGUAGAAAUUUGCAUAGUAAGUCCAACGUACUUUCGUUAACUCCUCCCGGCCGUCAAGCACAAUCACAUCACAACUUUGCCUGACAAGAGAGGAGGAGCGGCUGACCAAACGUUGUGAAGGGAUUUGUAUAAUUUGCUUAUUUGUUUUUAUAUGAUUUUUUAAAAUAAUUUUUUUUUUGGAAUGAAAACUUUUUUUAGCAUAACUUCAAAAGAUUUUGACAUUUUUCAAAGCUAUUCAUAACCACCAUACCUAAGGUAAAUUCAAGUGUAUGUCUUAUUUUCAACUUGAUUCAACAAUAGGGGGCGCUAUAAAUGGGAAGAAAUUAUACUGCUGAACUGGCUAAAUGGAUCGACACGAAACUUUGUGGUUGUCAUCAUUAUAGAGUCUCAAGACGAUAUUAUCAAUAUGGUAAUGAUUGAUCAAAGUGGGCGUGGUUUAUGAUCAUUUAAAAUUUAAAAUUUGAAAAACUUCCUACAAAUCAAUAUUUGCAUGUAAGAGGCUACAAUUUGCAGGUUGUGUUAACUGGGUAGCCUUGAGCUUAGAUCACGAAAAUUGCAGCUCCACGAAGAGGUUUGCGCAUUAUAUUUACGAAAAUACAUUUUUAGGCUAGCAGUUGUAGCACAAAUUCGGUUAGGACAAUCUUCUUGAAAUUUGCCAAAAUGUUCAAUCUUAGGUGGUUUACGAAACACAUGAAAUGUCAUCUUGAUUUGAGCACCCCCUUGUGUUUAAUUAUAGGACUUAUUUUUGUUUACAGCCACUAUCGCAAAUAUUAUUUUAUUGUAAGAACAGCUAAUCAUUUAUGAUCCUUAUAAAAAUAUAAGCAGAAUAUGCACAUCACAGAGGCAAUCUGGGAAUAUUUUGAGAUUUUUGUACAAAAGCAUUGAUUUUUAAUGAAUUUUUUACUUUUUGCCAGUUUUUCUGUAUAGUUGGACAAAAAGUAAAUAAUUUUUGUUAGAAAGUUUUUUUUUUAGGUAUAAAGUAAAUAUAAAACAUUUAUAACAUUCCACAUGUACCUAAGGUGAUCUGAGAUUUUUCUAUUAAUUUUAAAAAGUAGCACUAUUUUUUUAUGAAUAUUUUAAUUUUGGCUGUGACCCUUAUAGUUAUAUUUACCAAUUUUUCUUCAAAAAAGCUUUGAAUCUACUGAUUUAAAAACAACAGCAUAUUAUUCCAAUUGUUAACAUUGCCGUGUGAGAAUAUUUUGGUAAUUUUAUGAUGAUUUAUGGAUUUUUCAGGAUUUUUUGAAAUCAUUUGAUCAGUGAAUCACAAAAUGAAACUCAGUUUUUGUUGAAAAUCUAUUCAAUCUAUGGACAUUAUCAAGUAUUGAUGUUAUUCCUAAUAUACUCUUGAUGUAUAGAUUAUUGUUUGGUAAUCUUUAGAUCAAAUAUGGAUUUUAUAAUGAAGUUUUUGUUUUGGAGUCUUUCAUCCAUGCAACCACUCAGCCACACGCUGGUGGGAAUGGGCUACAAUGUAGCCACACCUUCCCUGAGGUGCACUGAGAGGCAAGGCAGCAUUUUCUGGUCAGAGUUGGGAUCGAUCCUUCAACCUAUCGAUUGUCGCACAUGCCGCUCCACUUCCUGAGCUAAUUCUGUCCCAUGCAGAACAUGAUUUUGCUCAUUAAAUCUUCACGUUCUUCGAUAAGGAAACAGUGGAAUUUGAUUGUAAUCACGAUUGAGAAGUCAGCCAUGCCUGUGAAAGAUACGUGUAUAGGCUAAGCAAAAGGUUUCAUGACGUAUCCUGAGUGUUACUUUCAUUGCGCCGGUUGAAGUGAGCUAACGGGACGCCGGCGGGAGAACGUGCUUUUGGAGCGGGACCGCGUGAGGACUGGCGAAGGUGAGGGCGGGGUCGGGUGGGCGACUGGCGCUAGUGGCUUGGAACCCGUUGAUAACUGCUUGCAGUUUUAGUUUCUUAUUAUUUCUGGUCAUCCAAGAAAACAUUAGAAAUACACGAGGCAUUCUUAUUUUUAAAUAGAGCCUCCCAACUGAUUUAAAUAUUUUAUCAAGACAAAUCCAUGUUAUGGUAAACCUUUAUAAUACAAUUAUGAUUCCCUAUCCUAAGAGGUGGAAUCUAUAAAACCAUAAAACACAUCAGGAUGUACAAUAGUUUAAAAAAUCAAGAAGUAAAAAACUAUUUGAUGAUUCGAUUAUAUGACCCAAACAAAGACAUAGCUUAAUUUUCUGAAAUCUGUUAAUUCUUCUAGGUGAUGUGCAGUCUUUCAAGGAAUGCUACACCUUGAUAUGAAACUAAUAUUACAUGUUUUUCACAAAAUGAAUCAGCAAAGCUACAGUUACAUGAAUAGAAAUGAUAAAAAUUGAGUCAGUUUUAGCCAUUAACUGUAAUGGAACCAAGCCCCUGCAUGGAUAGUGUGUUUUCUCAUCAUUAGUGCAUCACAUGCUUGUGUAACAUUUGUCAUUCCACAUGUUUUGUGCCCAUGUGUUUGAGAAGAGCAUACACUCCCAACACUUACAGAAAGUGUUGUGUAAGCACAUGUUGAUGCUUGGCUGUGUGUGUUGCCGUGAAUAAACACUGUUCCAUGUAUGGGUAUUGCACUGUAGGUAUCCCACCAGGGACAUAUGCUUUGUGAGAUGUUAGUGCAUGGUGAGUUAACCGUCUGAGGACUAAAAUAGCUCAUAGCACAGAUGAAUGACUCCUCUGGCCUGGAAAGAGGUCAGCGUGUUUGCACUUUUCCUAUUGAGAUCAUCAUGUCUCUAGAAGGCUUUGCUAUGGACUUUUAGUGCCAGCUUGUGUUUCGAUGCAUGUUCAGCACACUGCCUUGCAUCUGUGUUUGCAGGUUUAGGUCUGUAAAGUCCAAUUUGUAACACGGACAAAACGUUUGACCUUGCUGUCCACCUGAAUCCUCCCUCCUUCUCAGCCUUUUUUUAACGAGAUAGUUUCUCUCAUUAGGGGAACUCUGAAAGAAAGGGCAAUAGUGGAACUAUUUUUUUUAACCCUCCAAGCUCAGGGAAGAGCUGUGAAUCACCAGCAGGGCAUUUUACCAUGAAGGUGAGUUAAAAAGGAAUGGGUGAUUAUAGCUGCUCUAUUUAGGGAACGAAGAGAGAGAGAGCAAGAAAGGGUGGAAGGAAAAAGAAAGGGAUGGAUCAGUUGUAGGGUGAGCAGGAAUUCUCUUUGUUCCGACUUCAAAGACCACUAUAGUCACCCUGAGCCUUUCAUUCAUGCUUCAUUUGAGAUAUAAACAUAAAAGCAGUGAGUAAAGGUCCCUGUAUAGUGAGGAUGUGAGGGGAAGUAACACGACUUUUAAGGUGAUAAUGAAAUUCAACAACAGGGGAUGUGGGUGACUACAGCACAACUGCAGUGUUGCACAGGUUUUGCUUUCUAAACAGUCUGGUGGGUGCCACCUGCAGUAAAUGUCACUUUCUCUGUUAAUGUUCGUGAGUUUGUAUUUGGCCACAGGUAGUUGUGGAAUGCAGCAGAGCUGGAAGCAGUAAACCUCCAGGGAACAGAGCCAUCUCCACAGGGGUUUUAAUGCUGCCAUUCUCCUCACAAGAAAAGCUCCCCACAGGUGGAAUCCCUGACGUUCACCUGUUAACUUUCUCUCUGCGGGACCCCGGAGCGUUCUGUUGACUUCUUGAUGCACCACUUUAGUUGUAGCUUUUGUAGCGGAAUAUAGUUAGUAUAUUCUUACACUUUUAUUAAGGUCCAGAGAUUAAUCUUUGGACCGGGCACUUAGAAUCAGAAGAGGUUGUUUUUACCACAGGGAAUUUUAUUCAAACACUUGUAUUGACUUAGAGACAAGAAAAGAGAGAGAUGGGACGUUUAAGAAUAUUUAUUUUAUAAUUAUUCGAAACAAUCACCAGGACUAACUCUCUAUGAUGGAUGCAUAUGGAUUUGGAUGCUGAAGUGUUGGUGUGUGUGUGUCAGUUCAGAAUCUCCAUCUGAUGCAGGCGAGUCUGGGUGUAAGAUGUUGUUUUGACUAACUAACCACGAGGGACUUCAGGAGGAAGAGACAUGAAACGCCAUCUAUGCCGAACUACGUACCUUCGGAGACUCCCGUGUAUGAUCCGGAAUGCCAGGUCCUCGGACCCUCCUUUGGUGCUGGAACUGAUAGCACAGCGUCUGCAGCAUGACAAACCAGUCUACGGAUCGACUCCCGGUAGCAAUGGCAGGUGUCAGCGUCACGUAAAGAGUUCAGCUUUUAUUCUGAAGGAACCAUCGUCUUGUUGAUAAAACGACAGAAUUUUCCAGCUUGACAGUUCUCAGCUUAAAAGUAGAAAAUACAGCUGGCCAGUCUGUACUUCACUUAGCGAUGAUGGAUUUGAGAGCUGGUCGAGUACUUGGUUGGAACUGCGUUGAACCAAGUUGAACUACGUUGAAGAGCUUCGUUCGAACUGACUUAAAAUGGCGUUGUUCUGUUUUAUUAACUUAGUUGUUUAUAAUUCUUAGCAAAUCAGAGUGGACAGAUUAACUAAACACCACAGAGCUCUGCUCCACAACAGAAAAGAAGUUCUGAUUGGAUGAGGGAUGAAUGUGUCAUGUUUUUAUCUUAUGUGGAUAAGAAUGUCUAGCUCAGUUAGUCCUGUUAUUCAUUAAACACAUAAAUCAUAACAUUGUGAUUUCACAGAUCGGUCACCUGAUUAUUAUUGACCAACAGUUGUUUUGAUUAGCUUUAUUAGAAAUAAAGUUCUUUGAUUAACUAAUGAAAA